CGUCGGUCCGGAGAUCAGUGUAUGUAAUGCUCAUGUUAGUGGUCAAUGUUGUGCUGGUGUAUUUCUACAGCACAGCUCUGGAGAACGAGAAGGAUCGUGUCGGAUGGGUGUGUGUGAUCGUGUUUCUUCAGUCACUCUGGACAAUGAUAAACUUCACUUGGUCAUUUACAUGGGAUCUUCUCCGUGUUGUUCCUGUGUAUGUGUUUGGAUCAGUCGGUGUAGUUUUACUGAACGCUGUUGCUCUGAUGACUGAACUGAUACUGAAAACAGGCGAGUCAACACUUCAACAUCACUUGGUUUAUAUCUGAGCUUUCUGGUAAAAACACACACAUUAUAUUGUUAUUCUCAUCCUCAGUUAAUGGUGAAGGAGCCGUUGGAGAUAUGAGGAUCAUCGUCUUUUCCUCUGAAUUCAUCUUCACUUUAGUUCUCAUGAUUUUACUGAUAUUUGAACCCUGGAUCAAACCGUGUCUACAGUCAUGUCAGAAGAAAUUAAAGUCUCGUCGAGCUCGAGCCGCUGGAUCUCAGAAUCAGGAAUCUCAGGUUAGCGUCAGAAGAAUCAUUGUGGAUUUGAACACUUUUCUCCAGAGAUGUUGUGUAGAUCAUCAGUGUUUCUCAAUCCUCCUGG